AGAGUUUGAUCAUGGCUCAGGAUGAACGCUAGCGGCAGGCUUAACACAUGCAAGUCGAGGGGUAACAGGGUUUAGUUUACUAAACUGCUGACGACCGGCGCACGGGUGAGUAACGCGUAUACAAUUUACCUUUUACAGGAGGAUAGCCCAGAGAAAUUUGGAUUAAUACUCCAUGGUAUUACAGAAUCGCAUGGUUUUGUAAUUAAAGCUUCGGUGGUAGAAGAUGAGUAUGCGUCCUAUUAGCUAGAUGGAGAGGUAACGGCUCCCCAUGGCGACGAUAGGUAGGGGUCCUGAGAGGGAGAUCCCCCACACUGGUACUGAGACACGGACCAGACUCCUACGGGAGGCAGCAGUGAGGAAUAUUGGUCAAUGGAGGCAACUCUGAACCAGCCAUGCCGCGCGCAGGAAGACUGCCCUAUGGGUUGUAAACUGCUUUUAUACAGGAAGAAACUUAUCCACGUGUGGAUAACUGACGGUACUGUACGAAUAAGGACCGGCUAACUCCGUGCCAGCAGCCGCGGUAAUACGGAGGGUCCAAGCGUUAUCCGGAAUCAUUGGGUUUAAAGGGUCCGUAGGCGGGCAAUUAAGUCAGAGGUGAAAUCCCACAGCUCAACUGUGGAACUGCCUUUGAUACUGGUUGUCUCGAGUUACAGUGAAGUAGAUAGAAUAUGUAGUGUAGCGGUGAAAUGCAUAGAUAUUACAUAGAAUACCGAUUGCGAAGGCAGUCUACUAACUGUAUACUGACGCUAAGGGACGAAAGCGUGGGGAGCGAACAGGAUUAGAUACCCUGGUAGUCCACGCCGUAAACGAUGGUCACUAGUUGUUGGGGCUUUAUGUCUCAGUGAUUAAGCGAAAGUGAUAAGUGACCCACCUGGGGAGUACGAUCGCAAGAUUGAAACUCAAAGGAAUUGACGGGGGCCCGCACAAGCGGUGGAGCAUGUGGUUUAAUUCGAUGAUACGCGAGGAACCUCACCAGGGCUUAAAUGUAAGUUGCAUAGCCCAGAGAUGGUCUUUUCUUCGGACUACUUACAAGGUGCUGCAUGGUUGUCGUCAGCUCGUGCCGUGAGGUGUCAGGUUAAGUCCUAUAACGAGCGCAACCCCUACCGUUAGUUGCCAGCAUGUAAAGAUGGGGACUCUAGCGGGACUGCCGGUGCAAACCGAGAGGAAGGUGGGGGAUGACGUCAAAUCAUCACGGCCCUU
rnacentral:rRNA from 1 species